GUGCUCCCUUUGGCAGCACAUAUACUAAAAUUGGAACAAUACAGAAAUUGGCAUGGCCUCUGUACAAGGAUAACAUGCACAUUCACUCAGCAUUCCAUAUUUUA